UUGAUAUAUUUAAGUGUAUUUUAGGACUAAGUACUUAAAUCCUUUGAAUACUAUUGAAGGUUUAUUAAAUAAUUGAUAGAAUAGAAAAACAAAACAAAAAAACAAAACAAAACAAAAAACAAAAAACAAAUGAAAUAAAAUGAUAAAAACCAAAAAAACCAACAAAUUUUUUAAACUUUGUAUUUGAUUAAAUAAAUUAUUUAUGCUUAAACUCAAACCUAUAUUCCAUUUCUACAAAAAAAUUAAGUAUAUUUCAUUCAACAUUGUUCAAAAUAAAAUAUAAUUUUAAUAUAUCUCUCAAGUAUCCUGAAAUUUCUAAAAUCUUCAAUUUUUUUGAUAAUUUUAAAAAUACACCUAGCAGAGUAUAUAAACAAAUAUCAGCAACAAUGAUUCUAAUAUAGUAUACAAUGUUAAUUUGUCUGGUUUUGUUUUUUGUAUUUUUCCUGCAUUCCAAUUCUUUUAGCUUUGAGAGGAAAUGGUAUAACUCUAAACUUUUCCAAGCUAGUACACUCCCUUCUCAAGCUCGAUGAUCAUAGCAACAAGUCCAUUCAUGUAGCAACCACCAUUGCUGCAAACAACUUUACACAACAUAGUCAAGGAAGUACAUGCAUUGAAAUUGCAAUGACAAAUUCUUUGUUACUUACAAGAUCAUGGAUGCUCAAACCUUAAGCAAAUAACCAACAAUACAAAGAGUGUUAUAGCAUAAUGCAAGCAUUUAAGAGCACAUCACUAAGACUUGAAACCUCAUCCCUAAUUUCUAAUGACUCCUAAAAUAGAGGCAAGAUUUUGUCAAAUCAAAGAAAGGAGGAUCCUUGAUCAACCCCACUUUAAAACAAUUGGAACUUGCACUAAGCAUAAGUGUAAUACAAUCCCUCAACCUCACAACACAAAUACACCUAACAAUGUAAGUAAUAUUAGUAGGCAUCAAUUCAUGAAUAAAUCACCACAACUACUAACAAAGAAGUCUACUUAGCACUUAUCUACAUCAAUAUUAGAUGCAUUGCAUGAAGUACUCAUUUAUGUAUGUUGCAGAAGAUAAUUUUGGAAUUUACAAACAUGAAAAGAGAUUGUUGAUAUUUCAAGGUACUGUAGAAACCUAUUUUUGAAAAGUCCUUCAAAAUAGUCUAUUAGAAUAAGAAUUCAAAAUAUUAAUUUGGAGCUUUUUGAAAUUUCAAUAACUAAAGUAUUUUAUUUUUAAACACGCAAAACAUUACAAACAAGACUAAUACAGCAUUUUAUAACUAAUUUACAAGUAUUCUGUAAAGCAUAGAUAAAUAUUGAUUAAGCAAAAAGUUUAAUAAAUUUCACACUUCAAAAAAAAAACAAUAAAAAUCACACAAACGAGAUAUUAUCAAUCUUCUAAUUUAUCCUAUCCUUAAGGUAAUAUAAAAAGUAUAAGUAUUGUAUCUAACCUUACAAGUUCUGUAAACUACAAAUCAUACAAAUAGCACACUCAUAAUAUUGGUACUCCAAUCUAAAUUACCAUAAAAUUUAUAGCAAAAACAUCACGCAAAUAGAUGUGCAAUAUAUCCAAAUUCAUUUGAUUCAAACAUACAAAAACAUAUACCCCAAAUCGUAGAACAAAUCAAAUAUAACUUAAUCAAAACCAAAUAAAACAAAACACACUAUUGCUGUAUUUUGUGCACGGUACAGCCACGAAUCAUUACCAAACCCCACCUGCACCAAAUGCCAUAUCAGAACACACCUCAUUCUCUCAUUGGGAAACCCAGACCCAAAACACGCACUCAAUGAAAUUCCUUCUACAAUUCUUCACUACUUCUAAAUCUUUACAUUUCUCCUGUCGAGAACAUUGCAAACUAUAUCCUGUGUUUGAUCAACACCUCCCCUCAUUAACCAUAUCAACGACCAUCUACUUCCCAACGACAACUCUAAUACACCAUCUCACGUGACACAUUCUUGACAAUACAUGUUGACUUCCACUUUCAUCUCCCACUCGCCACACCCAUUUCUUAUCCUUCACCACCCCACACCAAUACCCACUUCACCUGAAAAUCCUCGUCACUACCAAUCACAACAACCUUCGUCACAAUCACCAUAUCCAACCUGUGCGUGUCAUAUUGGGUCAUACACUGCUGCGCUAUCCCCCAACGGAUCUUCUAUCCCACCAUCGCUGCAUCGACACAACCACGUCGCUUUCAACGUCCCCUACGAAUCCGAACAUCCGUGACAAUGCUCCAAGUCAUACCUCCAUGCACAUCAUCACGAUCUGCACUGCAGUAGCUUUCCACUGCACACUCAAUUACUGACUCUCUCCAUCUGACCUUCCCUUCCCACACCAAACGGCUUCCACGCAACACCUACAACACGUGAUCUCCGCACCGUGGGUGCAUUCGUCGCAAGCCCUUCAGUACGUACCCGACGCACCCAACCUCUCUGCAUUCCACCAUGCACCCACGCCUGCCCAAAUCUUCAUGUCUCCGGAUCCACAGUCCUCACUAACACCACGUGACGCUCACAAACGUACCCCUCCGAUUCCUGCACUGCUUCAACCGGAACUCACCCGUCCCCCAUCCCGCCACCACGCUCUCCCGCCCCACGCCUCUCGCCUGCUACACUCCACGGCCGCCCACCACCAGCCUCCACCAACACUCUCGCACCCGACUCCCCUUUCACACGUUCAAAACACCCCGUUACUACGACCUGCUACACUUCACACUUGCAAAUACAUCUGAAAAGUCUACGCCCACACCUUCGCCUCGUGCCAUCGGCAGUCCCCAAAAUGUUUCCCACGCUCACAACUGCGACGUAACCUAAUUCGCACCCGCUCAAAUCAUCCAAUUCCUCGACCUGCACCCGGGUCCCUUCAAAGGCCAAACUCCAUCCUUGGCACCGCCGCUGCAGCCCCUCCUUAUCCACCAAGUCGUCCGCCACUGCUGCCUUCCCGCUCCAGUAUGACUCUCGAACCCGCUCAUGCAGGGCGCCUCCAACCGCCCUUUCUCGCCGGUCGCAGCUUCUCCCACCAACUUCACGUAAGAACAUAUCUGCUCAUCAUCCGAAACCCAGCAACACGUACCCAUGUCACCCUCACUCCUCCCAGAUGCUGGGCCAUGAAACUCUACCCCCAUCCGGACCACCUCUACCACGUCCACAUGUCUCAGCCCCCUCGCACCACUCCGUGCGCAUGCUUGCCAUGUCCUUGUCGCCCUGCGCCGCUUACCCCACCCACCCUUCCCACCAUCCGCCGUUUGCAAUCCUCCGCCCACGUCCCAGGGUCC
rnacentral:lncRNA from 1 species